AUGAUCUUUUUGUGCAUCCCACAGAUGCUUCACGGGCCCAUCUGCCUGGAGCCCGUAACUGGCACCGUGAAUAAUUUUCAUAUCAUAAAAAUGACCUUGCGAGGCUUGAAAUCGUAAUAAUUGAUACCUGUGUCAAGUAACAAUGUUGACCGUUGAGUGUACUGCUUAUGAUAUAAUGUUCUUGUUCAACUUUUUGUUGGCUGAAUAAUAUCGUGCCUUCACUUAGCAUGCUCUGGACUAGCAAGAACUUAGCAUGUAGGAGAUUUAACAUCAGGAAACACCUCUGUUUCUUUAGGUUAGUUUGGAGAGUAUCGUGGGAGCUACCUGUCAAUAACACAGAAUUUAUUUCUCGACAGAAAGUUGAAGAGAGAGGGUUAAUUUGAAUAAGACAUCAAAGUGAUUCAGGCUAAAUGGAGGAAAUGACAGUUAAAAAGUUAUUAUACUGAAGAACUAUUAGAGCUGAUCUUUAAACAAAGGAGUGAAGAAUUAUUCUCAGCACAGCAUAUAUUACUGUUGCAACAAUGGACAUCACAGGUGGUGCUUGAAGAAACAAAGUCUAAACUUCGAUGGCAAAAUUGACAAUGCAACAAGGCUAGCGGAAUGUGUGACAAUGGCAGCCAGAUCGCUUUCAGACCAGCUGAAGUACAAAACUCUUGUUAUUUUCCUUCUUUUUUUUUUUUUUUUGGUUAAUCAAAAGGAUGAGAUCAUUAUCGUUGAUGCCAUCCCCAGUUUCGUUAAGGGAAGCAAGCAACCAGCUGCAAGCCACCUCUCUCAAAUGGACAUCGGGUGUAAGUUGAGGAGCAAUAGAUCUUCAAAGCUAAU
rnacentral:lncRNA from 1 species